AUGACACCCUCACAAUACCGCAGGCCGGCCACCUGGAUGCCAGCACGAGCCGCAUAUUCCCCCUGCGUGUUUGUGCUAUUAUGUUGGCAUAGGUUACAUCGUGAGUCUACCCCCGCAUUAUAUAAGAGGCCUAGUAUACACAUGUCCUAUCAGGGCACGACUCCUACUUUAUUUAGACACAAUCCAACUCAAAGCCCAACGGUAACUUACCUUGUAUACUAUAUUCGACACAGUUACAACAAGCUCCACCUUGGCAAAUAUUUUCCACCACCUUGGAUUCGUCCAUGCGUCAAACUUUCAUCUACAUUGGACUUGAGUUUAUCCCAUGAGUACCGCCGCUACUCCCGGACUCCACGUGACUCCACCUCCAACUGUCGUCCCUUCUUUUCUUGA
rnacentral:rRNA from 1 species